CGGGUAUAUCAUGUUGAAACACCGGUUCUCAUGCGAUCAUCGAAAUUAAGCAAUGUCGAGCCUGGUCAGUGCCUAUAUGGGUGACCGCUUGUGAAUAUCAGGUGUUGUAAG